AGUGAACGCUGGCGGUAGGCCUAACACAUGCAAGUCGAACGGCAGCACAGUAAGAGCUUGCUCUUACGGGUGGCGAGUGGCGGACGGGUGAGGAAUACAUCGGAAUCUACUUUUUCGUGGGGGAUAACGUAGGGAAACUUACGCUAAUACCGCAUACGACCUACGGGUGAAAGCAGGGGAUCUUCGGACCUUGCGCGAUUGAAUGAGCCGAUGUCGGAUUAGCUAGUUGGCGGGGUAAAGGCCCACCAAGGCGACGAUCCGUAGCUGGUCUGAGAGGAUGAUCAGCCACACUGGAACUGAGACACGGUCCAGACUCCUACGGGAGGCAGCAGUGGGGAAUAUUGGACAAUGGGCGAAAGCCUGAUCCAGCCAUACCGCGUGGGUGAAGAAGGCCUUCGGGUUGUAAAGCCCUCUUGUUGGGAAAGAAAAGCAGCAGGUUAAUACCCCGCUGUUCUGACGGUACCCAAAGAAUAAGCACCGGCUAACUUCGUG
rnacentral:rRNA from 1 species